AUUGAACGCUGGCGGCAUGCCUUACACAUGCAAGUCGAACGGCAGCACGGGAGCAAUCCUGGUGGCGAGUGGCGAACGGGUGAGUAAUAUAUCGGAACGUGCCCAGUCGUGGGGGAUAACGUAGCGAAAGCUACGCUAAUACCGCAUACGAUCUAUGGAUGAAAGCGGGGGAUCGCAAGACCUCGCGCGAUUGGAGCGGCCGAUAUCAGAUUAGGUAGUUGGUGAGGUAAAGGCUCACCAAGCCGACGAUCUGUAGCUGGUCUGAGAGGACGACCAGCCACACUGGGACUGAGACACGGCCCAGACUCCUACGGGAGGCAGCAGUGGGGGAAUUUUUGGACAAUGGGCGCAAGCCUGAUCCAGCCAUUCCGCGUGCAGGAUGAAAGGCCCUCGGGUUGUAAACUGCUUUGUACGGAACGAAAGGGUUUGUCUUAAUACGAUGAGCUCAUGACGGUACCGUAAGAAUAAGCACGGCUAACU
rnacentral:rRNA from 1 species